rnacentral:rRNA from 1 species
CCCUCGCCCCCGCCAUCUCAUCGACGGCUCGAAGCCGAACCCUCGGCAAGUAAAAGAUACCUAACCCUAGCUCGUCCGCCAUGGCCAGGGAGGCGUCGUCGUCCUCCGCGCCGGGGCCCUCGGAGUUGCCGCCGGCCGCUCGUGGCAGCGGCAGCGGAAGCGGAAGCGGCGGGGACACGCCGCGAGUGCCGCGGCGGCGCGCCCGCGGCGACCCGCUCCUCAUCGUGUGCGGCUGCUUCAGCGUCGUCACGGCCGCCACCGCCUUGCUCUGCGUCGCCGUCAACGUCCUAUCCGCUGUCCAGUCCUUCCGCCGCAACGGUGGCUACAUAUUCGGGGGCAUAUUCCGGUGCUAUGCGGUGGUGAUCUCGCUAUUCGUGGCCGUCCUCGAGACUGAGUGGGGAUUCAUCAUCAAAUUCUGCAAGAUAUUGGAAUACUGGCCUGCAAGGGGGAUGCUACAGAUAUUUGUUGCUGUCAUGACAAAGGCAUACCCAAACGUUGAAAGGAGCGAUCUGAUUUUGCUUCAGGACAUUGCCAGCUAUCUGCUCCUUGCAUGUGGACUAAUCUAUGUAAUCUCGGGGGUAUUAUGUCUUGGUGUACUAAAGCGCUCUAGGCAGCAGAAAGCAACAUCACGAGAGCAAGCAGCCAAAGAUCUGCAGGAGCUGGAGAAGCGGAGAGAGGAACUCGAGGCACUGUUAAUUGCUGAGAGGUCCGAAUUGGUCUGAUGAAUCUGAGCACGACGAUUUAACAUUUCUCACAUGGUGUAGAUAGAUUGUUGCUCCUGCUAAUUGCAUGCCGCUUUUUCAUGGUCAUCGAUUUGUCACCCGAGACAUUUUCGUUGGGAGUGCCCCCUUUUCCUGUGUUCCAGUUUUCGUCUAGAUUUCUGCUGAAUUUGGUUUCUGGUGUGAGCAUUUUCGUGGAUGCAUGGAUCAAGCAAUGUAUGGAUUGUGUGAGCAUUUUCGUGGAUGCAUGGAUGCAUGGUGUGAGCAUUUUCGUAAAUGGAUGGAUUGAGCAUUUUCGUAAAUGGAUGGAUCUUACAGUAUCUGAAUUUGGUAAAUGGAUGCAGGUGUGAGCAUUUUCGUGGAUGCAUGGAUUGUGUUGUCUCAGUUGUGUUGGAUUUAUGUUAAUGCCGUAGGCCUCAAAAUGUACCAUGCUGACAUGGUGUGUGUUUGUUGUCUCUGUAGUCUUUGUCUGAACCAUGGAUGCUAAAUAAUUUUUUGUAUUUUGUGUAAUAGAGGGUCCAUGCUUGGUUAACUUCUGAGAUUUGAAUUCAAGUAGGUUGUUUUCAAGCAAUUUAGAGUUGGGAUUCUUGAUGUGGAUAAUGCGUGAUAAUGCGUAAGUGCCGUUGCAAACUUUAUAACAAGUGUUGAGAAAACCAGUCAUAUACAUUAUGCAAAUAUGUAUAUGCGGUCAUGGCAGAUGUGUCGUUGAUUCCUGGGCAUCCAUUGUUUCUGCUCCUGUGGCCAUGGCAGAUGUGUCAUUGCGGUCUGCCAUGAAGGGACAAGCGGAGUUGCUGCGCUCUGAGCUCCUCAACAUGGCUUCCUUUCGACUCGAGAAAACGGUUCAACCUCUGCGCGAUGUCGUUGAUUCCAUGCAAGGUUGGAUGCUUCGGAUGGGGAACUUUCUAGAGCGAGCUGAGGCUGUUCUGAGUGGGCUCUCGCAGGUGUCACCUAUGUUGCAAACUGCUCCUAUGCAGCGCCCCCUGGUUGUGCCUGAUGUCAACCUUGAGGACGAGAAUGGAGAUGGGCUUCAUGGACGUUUCUCUCCUCGUGCCGGGGUCAGAUCGCCGUUAUCUGCCUCUGAGGGUUCGUGCAUUGAUGUGGUUGUGUCUUCGGUGCUACAGAUCAUGCCUGAGUUUAUGGAGCUGUGUGGGGAAUCGACUCCGCCUCUAUCCGUUGAGCAAUUGAAGGUGGACCCCCUCGAGAUCUUGGUUGUGGCAUUACCUCCAUUACCACCCCUCGAGCCCAACCAGAUGCUUGACUUCGAGGAGAAGGGGCAUUCAGACGUUGCAAUGUCUUGCUCGUCCGAGUUCAUUGGGCACGUGGUUUCUGUAGAUGAUGUGGUUGUCGCACCCAGAGCAAUGCUCGUGUGCCUGGGGCUCUAA